AGUAUUAUAUUAUUUGGAUUAUAUCUGGCACAUGUUAGAGACAAAUGAACUUAAAUUUUUCAAUUCAAUCGGUAGAGUUUUGAUGGCAUUUAUACUGAAAACAAGUACGAAUGUCUGUCCAAAGGCCAAAAAGCUGAAAAAGAAUCAUUUGAAGCUGUCCAAGAGAAAAGCAACGUUUUUGAAAACAAACGAAAUCUGAGGAGAAAACGAGAAAAAUCAGUUAAACUGAAAGAUUUUGUGGUCACUCCACUCUUGUUUCCUAAAAGAAAACCCAAAUCAAGCGUCGUACAGAGUUUAGCAGAUACGGUUUCCAAGGAGAAGAAAAAUAUUGUGGCAGAACAAAAAAAGACACAAGAAGACACCACAGCUCUAUUAGCAGAGCCAACAAAUGAUGUUGAAAUGGACAGUUGUGGUGAAAAACUCAAACCAACGAUAGUGCUUGAG